rnacentral:rRNA from 1 species
CCUACGGGAGGCUGCAGUGAGGAAUAUUGGUCAAUGGGCGCGAGCCUGAACCAGCCAAGUCGCGUGAGGGAAGACGGUCCUAUGGAUUGUAAACCUCUUUUGUCGGGGAGCAAAAGACGCCACGCGUGGCGUUCCGAGAGUACCCGAAGAAAAAGCAUCGGCUAACUCCGUGCCAGCAGCCGCGGUAAUACGGAGGAUGCGAGCGUUAUCCGGAUUUAUUGGGUUUAAAGGGUGCGCAGGCGGAAGAUCAAGUCAGCGGGAAAAUUGAGAGGCUCAACCUCUUCGAGCCGUUGAAACUGGUUUUCUUGAGUGAGCGAGAAGUAUGCGGAAUGCGUGGUGUAGCGGUGAAAUGCAUAGAGAUCACGCAGAACUCCGAUUGCGAAGGCAGCAUACCGGCGCUCAACUGACGCUCAUGCACGAAAGUGUGGGUAUCGAACAGGAUUAGAUACCCGUGUAGUC